rnacentral:rRNA from 1 species
AGCAGCCGCGGUAAUUCCAGCUCCAAUAGCGUAUAUUAAAGUUGUUGCAGUUAAAAAGCUCGUAGUUGAAUUUCGGGAUCAGUUUGUUGGUCGUGCUUCGGUACGUACUGUCAUUACUGGUUUCUACCUUCUGAAGAACCUUGAUGUCAUUAAUUUGGUGUCUUGGGGAAUCAGGACUGUUACUUUGAAAAAUUAGAGUGUUUAAAGCAAGCAUACGCUUGAAUACAUUAGCAUGGAAUAAUGAAAUAGGACGUUUGAUUCUAUUUUGUUGGUUUCUAGGAUCGACGUAAUGAUUAAUAGGGAUAGUUGGGGGCAUUAGUAUUCAAUUGUCAGAGGUGAAAUUCUUGGAUUUAUUGAAGACUAACUACUGCGAAAGCAUUUGCCAAGGAUGUUUUCAUUAAUCAAGAACGAAAGUUAGGGGAUCGAAGACGAUCAGAUACCGUCGUAGUCUUAACCAUAAACUAUGCCGACUAGGGAUCGGAUGAUGUUAUUUUUAAUGACUCAUUCGGCGCCUUAAC